AUUGUCGCGGGUUGAAAUUUUGCAGGGUUGUUGAAAUCAAAUUUAGGGACUUUACUGACGGGACUCUGGGCUGGCUGCUCUGUUCACUCGUCAGCGCAAGUGGCGUGACCAUGUAAUUGGGGCACGGGGCCGGCGCGGCGCGCUGCGGGCUUGCAGAAUUUUGUUUGUUUGUUUGGCCGCGCGCUGGCGCAGCCACGGGCCGCAGUUACUGGGGCGCGCUGUCGUAACAAGCCGCGCGGUGUGGCCUGCACAUUGGGGUAGAGGGGGGGUAGUCUUCCCAGGUGUUCUAGUUAGUUGUUUAGUAAAUUUGACUUCAAUAACGAGCUUUUGUUAUGGUAGGCGCGGCAGGGCGCGCGAAUUUAAGCGCAAGUGAUUGGUGACUCGGGGCUCACUCAGGCGGAGGCUAUGCGUCUCACCUGUGGUCACGAGUUGUUAGUUCGUUCGUGAUGUAGGAAUUCAGGCUCACUCAGGCGGAGGCUAUGCGUCUCACCUGUGGUCACGAGUUGUUAGUUCGUUCGUGAUGUAGGAAUUCAAGCUUUCGGGCGGAAGCUAUGGCCGACGCCAGAGGCCACGAGUCGUUUAAUUUAAGUUAGGUCAUAAUGUAGUCGUCAAGCUUUCGGGCGGAGGCUAUGGCCCUCGUCAGGGGUCACGCGUCAUAGUUUUUAAAAUGUAAUGUUCGUUCGGGAUUUCAAGGGCAGGAGAGGCCCCUACGUUAUUUUUUUAAAGUAAUCGAUCAAGAAAGGCUUUUCGGAAAAUGUGAGUAUGGACUUAUCUUUGUUUUAAUUUUAAGUAUUAAUUAUGAUUUGAGGUAUUCGGAAGGACUAGGGAAGUGUUUAGUGAAGUUCUCUCAUUCUCUCUCUUGUAAGGUCGUUCGUUCAAUCGUUAAGGAAGUAAAGAGAUUAUUGUUUUAAAUUGUAAUCCCGCUAUUUAAAUGUUCUUUAAAAUGAUGUUGAGUAUUUGACUUUAAGAAUAAAAUAAUUUUAAUUAAGUAUUAUGUUAUUUUGCAAAAUCUCCUUAGUUCAGCUCUCACCAGACAUCCUGUACGGGAUGACGAACCUAUGAUCCUAGGUACAGUAAAGUAUUUUAUGAAGUUAAGACUAGUUGAUGCCAAGCGAGUUGUUUCUAUGUAAAGAGCUACGAUUCUCGCCCCCCCCCCCCCCCCCUCUGAAGGUGGAUCGUGACAGAAAUGGCGGUGGCACCGGCUAGGUGCACGUGACAGAAAUGGUAGAGUUCGCCGGAUAGGUUCUAUUUCUGGAGAGAGAGAGAGGUAGAUUUUUAUGUUUAUUAUUAAGUUAGUUUCAGCUUCUGAUAGCAGGUUAUUAAGAGUUUACUUGAGGAGAGGAUUACGGAAUUUUAGUCUAUAGUGGAGGAAGUCUUUGAGAUUUUUUUUUGACGUAACAUAUGUUUAUUUGAGUAUACUUGUAAGGAUAAAGUUUAUAGUGAUAAGUUGUUUUAAGUCGUUGAGUUUAUCAGGGAUUUUUACGUGAGGAGAAUACGUUAUAAUUUAAAUGAUUAAUAGAGAUAAUGCAAGUGGUUUAAUUUAAUUGAAAUUAAUUUUAAGAUUGUAGGUUAAGAGAGUUAAAAUUUAAAAUAAAGUUUUUUUCGUAAAUAGGAAUUAUUUUCAAGUGAAGUUUGUUUUGCUGUCGUGCGCGUAGGAGACGAGACGUACGAAUUAAAUCAGUCGAGGGAAGGAUAAACGUUAGAAAGGAAUUAAAGAGAAAACGAGAGUUUAUGUAAAAGAGAGUUAUAGAAUUUAUAGUGAUGUUUUGUUUUAAUUAGAAAAAUGUUGAGAGUUGUUUCAGAACGACACGUCAGUGGACGUGGCAGAAUGAACACGAGACGGGGAGGUGCUGAGACCUAGCGGAGAACGGAGGAACCGCAAGCGAGGGUUGGCGCACCUGAUGGAAUUCGGUGACGUCACGGGCUCAUAAGGAGACGUGGACAGGCCGUGACCUUGUUUUGAUCAGCUGUACGGUAACUUAGCGAUAAGAAAAUAGACUAUUGGUUAAAUAAAUUUAAAUUUAAGUGUGUUUUAGAAGAAGAGGAACUUUCAGUAUAUUCCUUAAGAUGAGCUGAGCAGCAGUCCAGUUUACAAGAUGACAAGAGUUCGAGAGACAAGAUACAAGAUCACUGAAACAAGAGCCAAGACUGAAGAUUCAAGAGAAGAGAAAGCUGGCAGCCAUGGACUUACAAGUGGAGAUUAAUAAGGUCAUGUAAAGUUUUAUUUUUUUUUAUGGAAGACAGUAACUGGAGUUUUUUUUUGUUAUAAACAUUAUUUACAGAACUUUUUAGGUUAUAGUAAUGUAAUGGAACUAGUGAGUUGUGGUAGCUGUCAAAAAGAACUAAUACCUUAAGUUUAAUUUUUAAAGUUAAUUUUCUUAAUUUACAGAGGGAUUAGUAGUUUUUUUUAAACCUUAUUUAGGUUGGAAUUUAAAUACAAUAGCUUAUUAUAAAUGUGUACGAACAGUUCAAGUUCACCGUACUGAUAGGUAGGUCAGAUGAUCUUAUUGAUUUUGAUGAUUUGUUGUUUUGAGUUGAUUUUUAGGUGUUGUGAAUUAGACAAUGAAAUAGUUCUGAAAACUUAAAUUAUUUCAAGCUAAGAAAUAGUAAAGUUAAUUGUAACUCAAAGGACACCAGAAUUUAAUUUUUUUUGAAUUAGUAAUGUUUGAAAAUUUUAUACUUUACAAGAAAGGUUAUAAACAAACAGAUCGGAUGGAACAAGGAUGCAGUAAAUCACAAUUUCAUUUAGAAUUAUUGAUUAGCUUUUGAGGUUAUGAAGUAAAAGUAAUUAUAGUUUAAAAGUUUGAAUAAAAAAAAAAUGUUUUUUUUUUUUAAUUUGUUUGAAAUAGAAAGUUUAAAAGUUAAUUAGUCAUGAUCUAGGUGGGUGAUGGGGUGGGAAUUGGCCACUCUUUUUCCCUAUAACCUCCCUAACAUGGCCUUCUAUUACAACUAACAGAAAUAAAGAAGAAGAAAAAUGAAGAAUUAUUAGUUAGAAUGUUUCUUUCAUGAAGAUACCUGAUGAACUUUUACUGUUUGGAAGAAUAGAAGCAAGGUUAGUCAGAUAUUUUUACUCAGAAGAAGAAGAAGAUAAAGCAGUUUUAUGACUCGACAAGCCAGAGAUUGGUGUUUCCCCUCUGCGCUUCUAUUGACUACGUUGUUUACUCUCAUGGGAUAGCUGGUUCGGCACCAUGGAGAGAGAUUGGUGGGCAUUGUGGUUGCCCCCAGAAGAAAAGAAGAGUAGAAGAGGUUAUGGGUGGGUCAUGUGAACUGACCUUCAACCCAGUUACUUCGUGGGGACUAUUUGCUGUAUAGAGAAGAUCAAGACUCAAGAGUUAGGGAAAAUCAUUGGAGGUCAUGUUUCCCUUCCUUAAGUUUUUCCUAUCAAAUUAUUUGCCUGAUUAGAUUAUGCUAAGGGUGGGAUACUUUAUGUUAGCAGUUGUAUUAAUUAAUUUUAUUUUUUUGUGUGUUUACAUCCUUGCCCAUCGAUUGCAGUUUAGUAGUUAGUUUUGUAUUUGUCAGGCGUGAUGGUAAUGCCUGUUGAUGAUGUUUCAGAAUUGUAAUCUGUUCGUGAUGAGGAUGGCACAACUCCGAAGCAGAUGUGGGGAGAAGUUGUGAGCUGCCCUGGAAGCCAGUCCAGUAGCUGUUGGAGUUGAGUGGUGUUUGCUGAUGGCCAGCCCAGGGAGCUACUCUUCUCGACAACACUGACUUCGAGGAGUUGCACCAACCUUCACGAGAUAAGAGUUUAAUUAAUUGAAACACUGUAAGGACACUUAAUUUUUUUUGAAGAACGAAAGAAGUAUGGUAAUAAACGGAAACCGAAAAAAAAAAAUAAUAAUAAUAAUUAUCAAGAAUUUGCACAUUGUUUAACGAAUACUGAGAAACUAAGAACAGUAAUUUAAUUUGUAAAGAGAGCUUCACUAACAGAACAAUUUUUUUAGAAUUGAGAACUCGAGCCUCUGAAGGUUCCUGUGAGAACAAACCAGAUAAAAGUUUUACAUUUAAUUUUAUGAAUACUUGUUGUUUUAAAAUAAAUCUUAUGCAGAAUCUAGAUGUAUGUUCAGACAGCAAGGAACUAAGAAAAUUAUUAUUUUUGUGAAAUGAGGAAUUUAUAGUUAUGGUUUAAUGGAAAAAGACAAUUUGUAAUUUUGAGGUAGCUCGAUGGGGCUCGAGCUCUGUGAGGGGAGGGUUAUGUCGCGGGUUGAAAUUUUGCAGGGUUGUUGAAAUCAAAUUUAGGGACUUUACUGACGGGACUCUGGGCUGGCUGCUCUGUUCACUCGUCAGCGCAAGUGGCGUGACCAUGUAAUUGGGGCACGGGGCCGGCGCGGCGCGCUGCGGGCUUGCAGAAUUUUGUUUGUUUGUUUGGCCGCGCGCUGGCGCAGCCACGGGCCGCAGUUACUGGGGCGCGCUGUCGUAACAAGCCGCGCGGUGUGGCCUGCACAUUGGGGUAGAGGGGGGGUAGUCUUCCCAGGUGUUCUAGUUAGUUGUUUAGUAAAUUUGACUUCAAUAACGAGCUUUUGUUAUGGUAGGCGCGGCAGGGCGCGCGAAUUUAAGCGCAAGUGAUUGGUGACUCGGGGCUCACUCAGGCGGAGGCUAUGCGUCUCACCUGUGGUCACGAGUUGUUAGUUCGUUCGUGAUGUAGGAAUUCAGGCUCACUCAGGCGGAGGCUAUGCGUCUCACCUGUGGUCACGAGUUGUUAGUUCGUUCGUGAUGUAGGAAUUCAAGCUUUCGGGCGGAAGCUAUGGCCGACGCCAGAGGCCACGAGUCGUUUAAUUUAAGUUAGGUCAUAAUGUAGUCGUCAAGCUUUCGGGCGGAGGCUAUGGCCCUCGUCAGGGGUCACGCGUCAUAGUUUUUAAAAUGUAAUGUUCGUUCGGGAUUUCAAGGGCAGGAGAGGCCCCUACGUUAUUUUUUUAAAGUAAUCGAUCAAGAAAGGCUUUUCGGAAAAUGUGAGUAUGGACUUAUCUUUGUUUUAAUUUUAAGUAUUAAUUAUGAUUUGAGGUAUUCGGAAGGACUAGGGAAGUGUUUAGUGAAGUUCUCUCAUUCUCUCUCUUGUAAGGUCGUUCGUUCAAUCGUUAAGGAAGUAAAGAGAUUAUUGUUUUAAAUUGUAAUCCCGCUAUUUAAAUGUUCUUUAAAAUGAUGUUGAGUAUUUGACUUUAAGAAUAAAAUAAUUUUAAUUAAGUAUUAUGUUAUUUUGCAAAAUCUCCUUAGUUCAGCUCUCACCAGACAUCCUGUACGGGAUGACGAACCUAUGAUCCUAGGUACAGUAAAGUAUUUUAUGAAGUUAAGACUAGUUGAUGCCAAGCGAGUUGUUUCUAUGUAAAGAGCUACGAUUCUCGCCCCCCCCCCCCCUCUGAAGGUGGAUCGUGACAAUAUUUUUGAAAGCACUCAAGGGGCUUUUUUCAUCACUUCUACGUCAUCUAAUCUUAUGGGGGACGGCUCAAAUUUCAUAGUUGUCUAAUGCACGACGAGAAGGCUGCGCGCCAUUCCACAGCCUUGAGCUUAGAGGCGACACCGCGCUAGAAGCACCAGCGAGCUUUGCUCUUAUCAUCCCGCCUCACCAAAACACACAAAAAAAUAAGAAAAACAAACAGGCCUCCAAGAUAACGGUGAGAUUCAGAACUGUCGAUUCAGACUCGGUGCUGAUAAUUCAAGAGGUUGGGUGUGAACCAUCGAAAGACAGUGUUUAGAUGGGAUGAAAUAAUAUUGAAAUCCAUAAUCAUAAAUGCAUAAUUAGUAGAGACCCGAAAUUUCGCAGGGUUCAUUUCGUGUUAUGUUAAAAUUCAAAAAAUUAUACCUUAGUGCUGCUUCUGUCAUUGAUUCACUGUUAAUCUGGAGGACUGAGGGCUAAUUAGAGCCCCUCACUCAUAGAAGUGUCGAAUCACAGGCCACCCGGUCGAGACGACUCACAAGUCAGCAGCCAAUGAACAGUUGGCAUUUGCCUGAGUGUGUAGUGGAUAUUGGAGUCCAUCAUGGAGGUCAUUGAACCCGCGAAUUUUCCGGGUCUCUAAUAAUUAUAUAAAUAAUGGACACCGGUCACAAAAAAAAAACACUGAAUGUCCAUCGCCAAGCGAGCUGUAAACUUUGUAAAGGAUAUAACUGCCUGUGCUUGAAGCGGAAAGUUAGCCAGUUAUCAAAGUACACGUGAUUGGCAACAGGAUAAAGCCAGCUUUCCAAGUACUCACAUGCAUGCUUACACAGUCGUGUCUUGAGGAUAUCUAAAAUAUUGCUCUAUCCGAGGGACCUGCAACAUUUUUUUUUCUUAAAUUUUCCUUUUCUGUGCAAUCCACACUUAGUCUAAAAAUUCACCAAAAUAUAGUUAAAUCAAAAAAUUAGGGCGUCAAGCUAAAAGCGAAAACAUGAAAUUUUUUCCUACAACUGAAAUUUGAGAGUUUUAAAAAGCAGUUAUAAUGUAGCCAUAAAUUAAAUAAAUUAUAGCUUCAAAUCUUCGAACAUGUUCCAAUGAAUGUUUUGGGAACAAUUCUUUUAGGGAAUGUGUAGACGAACGCUUCUAGAGAGAGAGAGAGAGAGAAUGAGAGAGAGAGAAUGAGAGAGAGAAUGAGAGAGAGAAUGAGAGAGAGAGAGAGCAAUUCUGUAUAACAUGAAUUAACAAGAGGAGAAAAUAAUAAUGUAAUUCAAUAAUUAUGCGUGAUUAAUUGUUUUUAUAAAUAGGGGAAGAAAGGAGGUGAUGUAUAAAUUAGAAAAAAAAAGAAAA